GUGGGGAAUAUUGGACAAUGGGCGCAAGCCUGAUCCAGCCAUGCCGCGUGGAUGAUGAAGGCCCUAGGGUUGUAAAGUCCUUUUAACGGGGAAGAUAAUGACGGUACCCGUAGAAUAAGCCCCGGCUAACUUCGUGCCAGCAGCCGCGGUAAUACGAAGGGGGCUAGCGUUGCUCGGAAUUACUGGGCGUAAAGCGCACGUAGGCGGUCUUUUAAGUCGGGGGUGAAAUCCUGGAGCUCAACUCCAGAACUGCCUUCGAUACUGGAAGACUUGAGUCCGGGAGAGGUGAGUGGAACUGCGAGUGUAGAGGUGAAAUUCGUAGAUAUUCGCAAGAACACCAGUGGCGAAGGCGGCUCACUGGCCCGGUACUGACGCUGAGGUGCGAAAGCGUGGGGAGCAAA
rnacentral:rRNA from 1 species